rnacentral:piRNA from 1 species
UGGCAUUGUUAAUUUAAGGACCUGCUCUGC